rnacentral:rRNA from 1 species
AUUGAACGCUGGCGGCAGGCUUAACACAUGCAAGUCGAGCGAGCGGCGGACGUGUGUGUAAUGUCUGUGCAACUGCCUGAUGGAUGGGGUUCACUACUGGACCCUGUAGCUAAUACCGCCUACCUUCACAUGUGCCCAGAUGGGAUUAGCUAGUAGGUGGGGUAAUGGCUAACCUAGGCGACGAUCCAUACCUGGUCUGAGAGGAUGACCAGCCACACGGGAACUGAGACACGGUCCAGACGCCUACGGGAGGCAGCAGUGGGGAAUAUUGCACAAUGGGAGCAAGCCUGAUGAAGCCAUGCCGCGGGUGUGAAGAAGGCCUUCGGGUUGUAAAGCACUUUAAGCGAGGAGGCGUUACUAGCAGAAGAAGCACCGGCUAACUCCGUGCCAGCAGCCGCGGUAAUAC